rnacentral:rRNA from 1 species
UACGUAGGGUGCGAGCGUUGUCCGGAUUUAUUGGGCGUAAAGGGCUCGUAGGCGGCGUGUCGCGUCGGGAGUGAAAGCCCGUUGCUUAACGGCGGGUUGGCUUUCGGUACGGGCAUGCUGGAGUGCGGCAGGGGAGACUGGAAUUCCUGGUGUAGCGGUGGAAUGCGCAGAUAUCAGGAGGAACACCGAUGGCGAAGGCAGGUCUCUGGGCCACUACUGACGCUGAGAAGCGAAAGCAUGGGGAGCGAACAGG